GGCCGACGCCCUAUCCACUGAGCCAAACCGGUUUCGGCACUGAAGGCCAGUCUCCAGAGAGAAGAAGAGAUUUGUUCUUUUAUUGAACUUCAGUUUAAAGAAAAGAAUCCCUUUUUCCAAACCUGCUCAUGAUUUUCUACUGUGAAACCAGAGGACCUAAAUACAACAUGGUCCUUUUCUCUUUUUGUCACUAAAGAGCACUGAGUCUUGAGCAAGUUUCCAUUCUCCCUAAAAUUGUACACUUCUCUUCCUUUGCACCUAUGCCCUAUGGCAGGGGUUUUAAAAUUUGUUAAGUGAAUCCCCAGCACAUAAAAUCAUUAGAAAAGCUAUUCAGGGAUGGGGAGCAUGGAGGCCCACCUGCUUGCUCAUCCCACCCUGCCACUGCACCACUGCUUUCCUACUUAGAAAUCAUAGUACGCUUACUCGCUUACUCUCUACCAGAAGGAUCUUUCAAACCAAGACUGACUGUGGGGUAUUCUACGAGGUUGUCCCACUUUUCCAAUUGAAUAGAGAUACCAGGAUCAGUAUUAAGCUUUCAAACCUUAACCAGACUGUGAUCAGCUUCACUCCUGCCUUUACCAAAAUCAAAAUGAAAAAAAAUGGGGUGGGCAAGGUAAUGGGUUGAGGCUGUCCAUUCCGUGCAUCCUCAAAGUCUGGAAGAAAACUGAAAAGGUCUCAGGCUGACUCUGAUGAAUGAAAUAGUUUCACUUGGAAAUUUGGAUUCCUCACUUCUAAAAAAGUGAUUCCUACUGGAAUUGCUGAGAAAUCCGAGGACUAAAUUAUUGGAAGUUAGUUAGCAAACUGCUUCAUUCCAAGUUGGACCUAGAGUAAGUUUUGUAUCCCAAGCAUUUCUUAGCCACAGUUCCAUGAGUUCCUGUCUGCCCUCAGUCUGAGGGUGAGGACUCUGGCAUCUGAUACUCCACAGGUAUUCAUUUGGACCUUGGCGGCACCUUGCAGCUUUCCACAGGGGCCAACCUAAUUUACAUAAACAACGGAACAUUUCCUUUAGCUCUUUCACUGUUAGUGACAUCUGGGAAAAUUAACUUUUUUUCAGCACAGAACCUUUGGGGCCACCCAUGUAAAUAACACACAGUAUCUUAGAUGAACUAGAGGUGAAAGGAAAGGGUUGGUCCAAGACAUAGCGGCAAGACCUCCCUGCAGAUUGUUCCUAGUAAAAUGACAAAUUUCUCUAAACUCAUUAAUCUCUCUAAUGUAGUAGACAACCUUGCGUCCACUGUGAGCUUGGUACUUAACAUGUGACAACCCUGGAAGCCCCUGCAGUCAAUGUUCCCCAUUCACACUCCACUUGUUCCUGUGUACUGCGUAGAGGGUGAAUAAUAAAACUUUACUUUUCUGAA